GAUGAACGCUGGCGGCGUGCCUAAUACAUGCAAGUCGAGCGAACAGACGAGGAGCUUGCUCCUCUGACGUUAGCGGCGGACGGGUGAGUAACACGUGGAUAACCUACCUAUAAGACUGGGAUAACUUCGGGAAACCGGAGCUAAUACCGGAUAAUAUAUUGAACCGCAUGGUUCAAUAGUGAAAGACGGUUUUGCUGUCACUUAUAGAUGGAUCCGCGCCGAAUUAGCUAGUUGGUAAGGUAACGGCUUACCAAGGCAACGAUGCGUAGCCGACCUGAGAGGGUGAUCGGCCACACUGGAACUGAGACGCGGUCCAGACUCCUACGGGAGGCAGCAGUAGGGAAUCUUCCGCAAUGGGCGAAAGCCUGACGGAGCAACGCCGCGUGAGUGAUGAAGGUCUUCGGAUCGUAAAACUCUGUUAUUAGGGAAGAACAAAUGUGUAAGUAACUAUGCACGUCUUGACGGUACCUAAUCAGAAAGCCACGACUAACUACGUG
rnacentral:rRNA from 1 species